rnacentral:rRNA from 1 species
ACUAACGCUGAGAUACGAUGUCGAGCUACUACGGUAGUGAAGUCAUUGAUGCCAUGCUUCCAGGAAAAGCCUCUAAAGCUUCAGAUUGUAAGGAAUCGUACCCCAAACCGACACAGGUGGUCGGGUAGAGAAUACCAAGGCGCUUGAGAGAACUCGGGUGAAGGAACUAGGCAAAAUGGUACCGUAACUUCGGGAGAAGGUACGCUCUUAUCAGUGAAGUCCCUUGCGGAUGGAGCAGACGAGAGUCGCAGAUACCAGGUGGCUGCAACUGUUUAUUAAAAACACAGCACUGUGCAAAAUCGUAAGAUGACGUAUACGGUGUGACGCCUGCCCGGUGCCGGAAGGUUAAUUGAUGGGGUUAGACUUCGGUCGAAGCUCUUGAUCGAAGCCCCGGUAAACGGCGGCCGUAACUAUAACGGUCCUAAGGUAGCGAAAUUCCUUGUCGGGUAAGUUCCGACCUGCACGAAUGGCGUAAUGAUGGCCACGCUGUCUCCACCCGAGACUCAGUGAAAUUGAAAUCGCUGUGAAGAUGCAGUGUACCCGCGGCUAGACGGAAAGACCCCGUGAACCUUUACUACAGCUUGGCACUGAACAUUGAACCUACAUGUGUAGGAUAGGUGGGAGACUAUGAAACCGCGUCGCUAGAUGUGGUGGAGUCGUCCUUGAAAUACCACCCUUGUAGUUUUGAUGUUCUAACGUUGGUCCCUGAAUCGGGAUUACGGACAGUGCCUGGUGGGUAGUUUGACUGGGGCGGUCUCCUCCCAAAGAGUAACGGAGGAGCACGAAGGUGGGCUAAACACGGUUGGACAUCGUGUGGUUAGUGCAAUGGCAUAAGCGCCCGCUUGACUGCGAGAAUGACAAUUCGAGCAGGUGCGAAAGCAGGUCAUAGUGAUCCGGUGGUUCUGAAUGGAAGGGCCAUCGCUCAACGGAUAAAAGGUACUCCGGGGAUAACAGGGCUGAUACCGCCCAAGAGUUCAUAUCGACGGCGGUGUUUGGCACCUCGAUGUCGGCUCAUCACAUCCUGGGGCUGAAGUCGGUCCCAAGGGUAUGGCUGUUCGCCAUUUAAAGUGGUACGCGAGCUGGGUUUAGAACGUCGUGAGACAGUUCGGUCCCUAUCUGCCGUGGGCGUUGGAAAAUUGAAAGGGGCUGCUCCUAGUACGAGAGGACCGGAGUGGACGAACCUCUGGUGUUCGGGUUGUCAUGCCAAUGGCAUUGCCCGGUAGCUAAGUUCGGAAUCGAUAACCGCUGAAAGCAUCUAAGCGGGAAGCGAGCCUUGAGAUGAGUUUUCCCUG